CAAACUAGAACUAAAGCUGCUGGGGGACUGGCCCCUGGUUUGCUUGCUCUGUCAACUUCAAACCUACGGGAACCCAUUUCCUUAAUCGCAGCAGUGUCUCCGCACCCAGCCCAGGAUUUUUGCUAAUCUCGGAGCCUCGCGUCGCUGUCUCUGCCUGAGGGGCGAGGUCGGCCUGGCUAACAGAGCAAGACGCACUCGCCCAGGGCAGAAGGCGGUGAGCCGGUGAUACCCUCAACCACCCCAAACGGCCCUCUGGCUCCUUCCAGAGCCCCGGGCACACGCCCUCUGCUGGUCCCACAGAGCACUCCUGGCCCUAACCGCGAGCACCCGCUGCGGAGAGGAUAUUCGGGGAAAGCCAAGAAAGCACCAAGAGCCGUGGUCAACUGGAAUCCGAAACCGCGGGCCCCUUCACUGCCAGAUAAAUAAGAAAAAGACGAUAAUUUAAUGGAAAAAUUGGCAAGAGCACGGUAGGAAUUUCGCAGAAGAACCCUACUGGAAACUCGAACCAGAUUGUCUGACCGGUGCACCUGUCGGCGUGCGGGAGCUGGCAGUUUGUAGGAAGGACUUCUGGAAGCUGACUUGAUAACCAUAUCCAACACAAUGAAAACAAAAAUCACACCAGCCAAACCUUUUCCAACACCGGGACUGUUUUGAUUGUGUAGAUCAGUUUGGGAAAGCAGACAUCUCGACAGUAUGGAGUGUCUCUCUCAUCUCCAGGCUCUACAUGUUGGAUUCCUUCUGCUGCAGCUGGUUUGGCCCAUGCUCAGAUGAACAGGGGCAACAGGCCACGUGCAACCCUGUUCCCACCCCUGUCCUUCCUCUUCUCUCCCUGGAGGUCUCCUGUCCCAGAUGGUGGGCACAGGGCUGGGGGAGGAAGGUGCCUCAGGCAGGUCUCUUCCCUGUCCAACAGCAGCCUGCCCUCCUGGCACACAAGGUGGCCUGGCCGUCAGCUCCUUUCUCCUUUUUCUUUUCCUGUGCCCGUUUCUCUGGCCAGUGGGGAAGGAGGCGCUGCCAGGGGCUAUAGAAGGGAUCAGAGCCUUGUUCCCCACCUGUGGGUUCCUGCCUCUCCUCAGGGGGCAGCCAUUUCUCUCCUGAAACCAUUUUCUUCCCUCUUAAUAUCCUCUGUCUCUGGUCAGGGCACCUGGGUCCCUUCCUGGGGGCAGAGGCAAAUUCUAACGACCCAUCACAUUUACACAUUUAUAUUUACAAACGCUUGGCAGCUUGCAAAACUGAGGAGCAUGAGGCUUUCUGCAGGCCCAGGGAGGUUCUGUGAGGGGGAAGGAGCCCGUGCCACUGAGUGGAGGCCUGGGCCCCAUGAGCAAAGCCACAGCACUGCUGGGCGGGGUGCUGUCUCUGCCCACCACUCCCUGGACCAUUAGGUUGCCAUCUGGCCCACUGAGAAGUAGAAACCUGAGCCCUCUACUCCCACUAAGCCUGCCUUGGGGUUCCCAGAUGUCUAAGUCCCCAGCCUCAGGGCGUCUCCCCAUGCUGAGACCGCCCCUCAAAGAGGCUACACCAAUGGCCCUUGCCUGGGCCCUCACGGCCGCCCUAAGGGCUGCAGUCCUCCCGCCUAUGGUAUGGAUUAGUUUUGCCCAGAUAUGUGAGUUUGCAUUUUUCCAAGAUGAAUCCUGUUUCCUGUUUCCAUUUCUAGCUCAGAGAGGUCCCUGCGGGUGACCUUCACAAAACCUCCCUGUGGGCCAGCUUCUCAAAAAUUCACUUUGGUGCACUUUGCACCUGCCCUUGGCCGGUGGGGCCAGGCCUCUGCCCUGCCUGCUCUGGGGCCCACCCCGGCUUUGGGUUCCCGUCUUUCCAGGCUGCUUGCCGGCAGCAUUCCGGAGGGCACGUGGUCAGACUGCUGAUGCUGCUGGCCCUGCGCCUUCCUGAGCUUCCCUCCACACCCUGUGGGUAUGGGGUACCUGCUGCCUCAGUCAGCUCAGGCCAUCACAAAACACCGCAGUGAAAGCUUGAAUGACAGACGUUUCUCUCGGCCUGGAGGCCAGGAGGCUGGGAGGCCAGCAUCAAGGUGCAGGCAGGGAGACUUCGUUCCUAGGCUUCCUCUCUGGGCUCACAGGGCCUGAUGGUGAUCUGUAGAGAGCUCGAAGAGAUCUCUGCCUUGCCACCUGCUGCUAAUCCCAUUGAAUCGAGACCCUACCCUUAUGACCCCAUUUAACCAUAUAAUUUCCCAAAAGCCCUGUCUCCAAAUACAGUCCCACUGGGGGUUAGGGCUGCAGUGUAGGAAUUUGAGGGGUGUGGGGGAGACAGUUUACCCGUAGCACCUGGCAUUUUCAGUUCUCAACAAAUCGAGUCGCUUCACAUGACAGGAAUUUAUUCUCUCCCAAUUCUGGAGGCCAGAGUUCUAAGAUCUAGGGGUGAGCAGGGCCAGGCUUCCUCUGGAGGCUCCAGGGAGGACCCUUCCUGCCUCUUCCAGCUUCCAGGGGCUCCUGGUGGGCCUAGGCUGGUGGCUGCCUCACCCCCUCCCUUCCUUUUUUCUUAUGAAGGUCCCAGUCAUUGGGUUUAAGGAUCACCCUAACCCAGGAUGACUUCAUCUUGAAAUUUCUUAUCUUUCUUUUAUUUUUUAUUUUUUAAGAUUUUUCUUACUUGAGAGAGAGAAGGAGAAAAGGAAUGAGAGAGCACAAGCAGGGAAGCAGCAGGGGCAGAGGGAGAAGCAGACUCCCCACUAAUCAGGGAGCUGGAGGCAGGGCUGGAACCCAGGACCCUGAGAUCAGGACUUGAGCAAAAGGCAGACGCUUCACCGACUGAGCCACCCAGGCGCUUCUUGAAAUUUCCUAUCUUAAUGACAUCUGCAAAGACCCUUAUUCCAAAUAAGGUUCCAGGUGGACAUGAAUGGGAGGGGGACACCAUUCACCCUUCCCCCCUGAGGGUGCUCUGACCUAGGGUCAGCUCUGGACUCCGCUGGUGGGCCCCACGGCCAACCGUCCCUGAUCUGCAAAGAGGUAUCAGGGCCCCAGGAUUUCAUUUCUGACAGGAAUAGAUGUACUAGUCUUAGGGGCUACGGCUCGCCAAGGGCGUGGAGGUUGUAUAAUACAGACACGCUUUACUGCCUUUGGAGGAGAAGGUUGGCUGCUGAUUGGAUGGUGUCUUGGCCCGUUUGGGUGGCUAUAAUGAACACCAGUACUGGUGGCUUCUAAACCACAGAGAUUUACUUCUUACCGUUCAGAAGGCCGGGAUUGUAGGUUCCGUGCUGGGGAGAGCUGCACACGUCCCGCUGUGUCCCCAACAGGGUAGAAGGGGUGAGAAACGGCAACUCUUUCACAAGGGCCCUGAUCCCAUCUGGGAGGCCUCCACUCUCGUGACCUUACUGGGUCUCAAGGCCCACUUCCUAAACCCAGCGCCCUGGGUGUUCAUACAAACACAUACAAAUCUGGAUCAGCAAGAGGCUGGGGGUCAGGAUCCAGGGGGGUGUGUCAGGGCCAGAGGGUGGAGGACAGCCCCCGACUCCCCUCGGCAUGGGAAUCUGGCCUGAGAACAAUGGAGUAGAGGCAUGUCAUUCACCGAAAUUCUCUGGGUUCAUUUGGCCAACCAGCCUGGCUCUGUGGUUGCCCGUAGUGGGGAGCCAAGGGGUCCCAGGGCCUCUGAGAAGAGAGACGUUUGUGACUUGAACUCUAUCCCAACUUGACAUAGUUGUCUACUCUUCCCACCACAGUUUAUUCUGCUUGUAGCACAGCAGCCUAUAACCUCACCACGUUCUGGAAUGAACGUGACUGCAGGUCUGUACGGGGUAAACCCCCCCAGAGAUGGAGGGGGGAGCUGCGGCAGGGGGUUCACGGGCUUCCCCUGGGUCCAUCGCUGACCCGACAGAAAGAGCCCGCAGGGCCCUCACCUGGACUGGACCAUGCCCAAGGCUGCGACACCUGCAGGAGUGAGAGACACAUCCCUCGUCCCAGGGCCACAACUUACUUCCCACUCCCAGCUUCCUUCGUCGCAAGCACUUUGGGCUCAUAACAGCCCCUCCCGAGUCACCCCAUUUCUCCUCAUUCCCAGACUUGCUUAGGGUUUUGCCCAGUGUGUUUGUACUGGGGUUGAAAUUCUCUUACUCCUGAAUAAGCCCAUCUGUUCCUGGUGAAAUAACUGGCAGUUUUCAUUGUGAAGGUUAACAAAACCAAUGUACUUUAUUUAGGUAUUUUCCCACUUACUACUGUUACCAUUGAAAUAAAACACAGCUACGAUGA